GAUGAACGCUGGCGGCGUGCCUAAUACAUGCAAGUCGAGCGAACAGACGAGGAGCUUGCUCCUCUGACGUUAGCGGCGGACGGGUGAGUAACACGUGGAUAACCUACCUAUAAGACUGGGAUAACUUCGGGAAACCGGAGCUAAUACCGGAUAACAUGUUGAACCGCAUGGUUCAAUAGUGAAAGACGGUCUUGCUGUCACUUAUAGAUGGAUCCGCGCCGCAUUAGCUAGUUGGUAAGGUAACGGCUUACCAAGGCAACGAUGCGUAGCCGACCUGAGAGGGUGAUCGGCCACACUGGAACUGAGACACGGUCCAGACUCCUACGGGAGGCAGCAGUAGGGAAUCUUCCGAAAUGGGCGAAAGCCUGACGGAGCAACGCCGCGUGAGUGAAGAAGGUCUUCGGAUCGUAAAACUCUGUUAUUAGGGAAGAACAAAUGUGUAAGUAACUAUGCACGUCUUGACGGUACCUAAUCAGAAAGCCACGGCUAACUACGUG
rnacentral:rRNA from 1 species